GCAGACCACCUCGACUGUCUUGGUAGAGAAGAACAGGAGUGGGAGGCCUCGGGGCUUGACUGAAGCCUCCCCUCCAUGUGCUCCCUAAUUGGUUUAAUGACUGUAAUUAUCUGCUGGGGCGCAUGUUGUGCAGGGGACGAUUAAUGGCCUCCAAAACAUAUGCAGACAGGCGGAAAUUUCAGAGAGGGGGGGCACUAAGACAAAGAAUACCUCGGCAGAAAAAAAGAGCCAUAAAGUCGCAGAGAGAGACACAUCCUGCUGGAGAAAAAAAAGAUAGAUUCCAUCUGCGGCACAUAUACGGACCUAUACAGGACAUACCACCCAUACAGUUACAAGGUAAAACUUAAAUCUAGAAGAACCUACCACAGUGAUUGAAGGCUGGAUGGUUUAAGUUGCAGUGCCACCAAUGUCCUCUAGAUGCUAACUCCAGAAGAAUUUCAUUUAAAACAUGUCAGUUUUUCAUUUUAAAUAUUGUUUGUCCAGUUUGGGUUAUGAAAGAAAAUUUCACCCUAGGGCUGAAACUAAUGUUUUUUUCAAUACUGAUUAUUCUGCCUCUUAUUUUUCAAGUAAUCAAAUAAUUGUGGUCUAUAAAAUUUCAGAAAAUUGCCCUAAACACUAAAGCCCAAUUCGACAAUUUCAAAGUACCGAGUUUACUUUUAUAAAAGUGAAAACUCACAACUGAGAAGCUGGAACUAGGGAAUGUUAUAUUAAUGUUAUUUUGUUGUCAAAAAUGUUUUCUGUCAAAUGACCAAUUAAUUACUCAACCCAUUACCUCAGCUCACUCAAUCUAUACCCUGCUUGUGAUUUUGUCACGUGUAAGUUAAAGCAGCUUGGGUUGUGUACACUACAAAUACUCAGCAGUAGAAAGCCUACAAACCACUACUGUAUGUCGAGUAUUGCACAACACCUACUUAUUUAUUUCAACAUUCGUUUCGCUGACAGAUGCGUUGUUUGUGUAGCACAUUACCCACAAUCCUGUUUAUACAGUUUACAGUACCAAUGUGACCUGCAUAUACUGUAGAACUGUAUGGUUUGUUUUCAUAACUACAUACAUGAACAUAAUAGCUGCAUGUAUAUGUUUAUGUUUGCUUAUCUUUGUUUAGUCUGACUAUGUUUGUUUAUCUGAAUGUCUAUAUUUGUAUCUUCCUGUGCAUUUGUUUUAAGCUCCAUGUGUACAGUAUGUAUAUUGAAAGCUACUUACAACCAAAGUCACAUUCCUUGUAUGUGUCACCAUACAUGGCGACAAGGUUUUAUGACAUGACAGGUGUCUCAACCUAUCACAGCUGUUGUCGAUUGACUCGCUCUACUGGUCUACCCUACCCAGGCUUCCUCCCCUUUAAUCAAAUGUGGAUUUUCUGGCUCCAGUAGCUCUCAACAAUGGCAGUGAGUUGUAAACUCAAAUCCAGGCUUGAUAACAACCCUUUAGAAACCUGUGGUCGACAUAAAAUACACUACAGACAUGCUUUUGUAAAACUUUAAUGCACAAACUCAAUGCGAGCGUAUACUGUAAAAUCCACAUAUGUAAUUCAGGACCUUUUAGCUUCUCUUAUAUUAAAGGUCUUUGUUUGAUCUUUGCUCCUCAUCUUGUUUGCAGACAAUUCUCUACUGUGGUAGCAAUUCUGUCAAAUUAGCUCUUUGGAAAUAAUUUUUCUCCUUUAAUACACAGCAAGAUGCUCUUAGUAACCUUAAAUUAGUGUGUCAUGCAAAUGAAACACUAAUCAUGCUCUUUUCAAGAUCCAAAGACUUAUCUCUCACAGUCACAGUGACAGGAUCACAGAAUAUCUUGACAUUUUAUUUGAUUAGAAAUCUAUAUUUAAAUGUGACAAAAGUUCGUGGUUUUGUACAGAAUCAGAUUCCCACCUGUAGAAAGAGGAUUGUCAAAGCAGUUUUCCUCUCAGUUCUGGAUUAUGGUGAUGCUGCCUCCACUCCAGAUCCUGUUUACUAUUCAGCUUUUGGGUUAUGAAUUGAGACAAUUACAAUGCACAUCAAAGCAUUUUAGAAGUUAUGCUUAGCAGUGGUGGAGCAGAUGGUUUAGACAAACAGUUUUAGGAUGAUUUCAGGUUAGGUGUGGAAAGAAUCAGGAAAGGGAUGUUUUGUUUAAAUAGUCUAAAACUGGUCUCUGUUAGACCAGUUUGAUGUUUCUUUCCUUGAGAAAAAACACAAAACCUCCUUGAAUCUGCAGCAGCCAGAAAAGCACCAACAGCAGCACCGGGAUGUUUAUGGGCCUUUGUAAAGACGGGUCGGUCAGAAUUUUUAUGUGUUGAGUGACAUCAGCGGUGUCAUUAGCAGGAAUAUGGAGUGAAUUAGGCCGGCGUUUCAAAAUAUACAAAGAGUCUGCGGAAGGACAAGGCUUAUGUCAACAGUGGCUUGUGUUUCUGCUCCCCACUCCCCUUCAUGUCGCCUUUGUGCUGACAUCAAACAGAUCUCAGCAGCAGAGUUUGGGAAAGAUGCUGGUAAUAAUUAUUUGUUCCUCACUGUCUUAUUAAAAAGGUUCAUUAAAUCAUUUAGUUCCAGCAGCUUAGUUUGUUCUUAUGUGGAUUUGAACCUUGAGAGGAGCUUUUGCAGCAAUCUUGGAUGAGGAUAUAUAAAAUCUUUUAGUUGAGAAUGCAGUGAAAAUAGGAAAAUUGAGGGUCUUGGAGGAGACGGAGAAGAAUAAUCUGCAAAAAGCCCUGGAGCGCUGGUGAGAGAAACAGCAGCGGAAAGACGCAGGAAGACCAAUAUAGACAGAAAUUGGAGGAUGUGUUUUCUGGUCAGGAACCCAUUGCUAAAAUUAGCUAGGAUGUAAAUUCCUCAGCGUUGCCGGUUUUCAAAUCCGCGCAUGACACUGAGAGCUGCCAGGACAACAUAAAACAAAAAAAGAUGGAAGGGCGGUGGUAUAGGGAGAGGUCAUACAUGAGCAGUGCCAUGGUAAUGUUUUCCUUUUUCCUUAUUUCUUUUCAAAUUGACCUUCGCCCUGAGAACAAAGACAUCUUACAAGCCACAAGAAGGAGGGGAAAAACUCUGAAAGCGAAAGCCGCGGCCCCCACACACAACAGUGCACGGGGGGAGGCUCUGGGGCCCUGAACGCCAAGCCUUCAACACAAUCACCACACAUGCUAUUGUGGCCUGCAGUAAAGCCCUGGUAUGGCUCAAAUCUCCAGCUAACCCCCUCCACCCCCACCCUUGCCACCAGGCCUCACUCCCCCCCCCGCUCUUUCUCUGUCCCUCCAUGCAUCCCUGUCAUUUACAGUCCUAAUGACAAGACACAAACUUCCACACAUUCAACCCCCGCAGAGUGAGGAUAAUCACAUUACAGCCGACGACAGGGACAUAAACCAAACUCCUCCAGCAGUCAGUUUUGGAUGCACUCAGACGUGGAUUUGCAUAAAUGCAAACAGUACAGUCAGCAGCUUAACGGUAUGGCUCUGCUCCUCUUUUUCCAUCGUGCAUGGAAGAGAGAGAGAGAGAGAGAGAGAGAGAGAGAGAGAGAGAGAGAGAGAGAGAGAGAGAGAAAAAAAUCCACCACGCUGUGAAACACUGAGGGAGUGGAUGGAUUGAGAUGGAAAAUAGUGAAAGACUUUCUCAGUUUACAGUCGCCACAUAAAGCCAGGACUAUUUCUAGGCAUCCCAUUGGUUUAACAGAGGUAAGAACACACAGCCAGCUGGAAGUCAAGGACAAAGACUCAUAAGGGAUUUAGUGUCAGAUCCAAGUUCCCAUGCUCAGUCUGCAUUGGGCCUUUUCUUGCUACUUCUCUGUUGACCUGCAGAUUAAUUCAAUACCUAAAUAUUGACAUUCCUCUUUCUUGUGUGUGGUUCUUAUCUUAGGAAUGCAUUUAGGGCUUUGUCACUUGCAUCAAUCAACUAAAGCUGAUAAUUUUCAAAAUGCGUGGCGCCAGGGACUUCCCUGCCACUGCAAGGUCAGAGUGAGUGAGAUAAGGCAAAGUGGAUCCGUCAAGGUGAAGUUCAGAGUUAGUAUUGGGCAUGUUUGGACUUGAGGAAUUCUCUAGUGCAAACAUUUUAUUGCAAUUUAUUGCAUUUUUGUCCUGAGCAGGUGUGACUGAGUCUAGAGAGCUGAAAAGCAAACUUAUGCAACAUGCUGCUAACAGUUAAAAGCUCUCCUGCUUGCUCGCUACUGUGAUGCAUUCCAUUCAAGGUCAGACAUUUGAAGCUUCCAAAUAGAAUUUCUGACCCCUGGCCUUUGGUUUAGUGUUGGGGGAGAAAAAACUAUGCAAAUGCGGGUAAUGAGAUACGUUACAUGGAGUUUAUUUAUGUGUUCUUUGUGGUUAAGUUUAGAGAGCUUUGUCGGGCUGACUGCUGACACUACCAUAGUCCACUGGAAAUCCAUGAGAUUUAAAGGAUAAUUUCAGUUUAUUACAACUUGGGUCUUAUCUGUGUAGUUUUGACUACCAAACCAUGAAAGAAAGUGAAAAAAAUCCCACCGAAAUAUACUUUAAAUAUGCUUAAAAAGUUCCUCAUGCAGCAGAAUAUGCUAUGUCAUAAUUGGAAACCUAUUUGAAAUAUUAAACAUGAAAUAUUCAUAACUGCAAGUGCAAUUCUACACCUCACAGAGACAUGUUUAACCAUUUAUCACAAGGGAUUUGAUAGAUUUGUGGCCAUGCAAUGUUGAAUCUGCAUUCAGGCAUUCAGGAUAGGAACAUGUGAAAAACAUGAAAGUAUUUUAUUAAAGUUAUGUAGUGAGGUCUUGCAUCACAGACCUCACUACAUAACCCUUAGUUUUUUACUCAGAAGUCCAAUGUAAAGGGCCGUUCCACCGUAUUAGGGAGGCAGAAUUUUGGCCUUCCGACUUCGACUGUAACAUAAGAGAAGAGUUCAUGGGAGAAGAAAAUGUGGUGUCAAGCAGAAGGUCAUUUCCCAAGGCAAGAGCAAUCAAAUGGCAGAUUACAGUGUGAUCUCUGUUUAGUACAUACAAACAUCAGAGCUAAAUUUGAGCUUUUCAAGUUUACUUUCAUCUCAUGGUUUAAUAUCUGGUUGAUUUGAUUAGAGAAUACAAAUCUAAUAAAAUGUUCCCAGUAAUUUCUGACAGAGAAAUGUUGAUGUGUGUUUUGUACAGUAAGCAUGUGCGUGUGUCAUCAGUUAUUAUAGUUUAUUUAUUUUGUUUCUAAUUUUUGUUUUCAGUUCAGCUUAGCUUAGUUAUUUGUCAGGGGUAAGAUUUAAGAAGUUCAGAAUAGUUAUUACAAUACAAGUACACAUGUAGAUAUCCCACUUGCAGUAAACAUAUACCUCCUUAUGUUGACAAAGACUAAAGCUUAAGAUGCAUUUUGUAAGUAUACAAUAUUGUUUCAGUUAGUUUUAAUUUUUGUCUAGUUUUUAUUUGAAUUUUAGUUAAAUAAAAUGUUUUUUCACACCUUG